GAUGAAGAACGUAGCGAAAUGCGAUACUUGGUGUGAAUUGCAGAAUCCCGUGAACCAUCGAGUCUUUGAACGCAAGUUGCGCCUCAAGCCAUUAGGUUGAGGGCACGUCUGCCUGGGCGUCACAUAUCGUUGCCUGAUGCCAGUUUCCUCGUGAUGGGUGACUGUGCAGGGCGAAUGAUGGCUUCCCGUGAGCAUUGUUGCCUCAUGGUUGGUUGAAAAUUGAGUCCUUGGUAGGGAGCGCCGUGAUAGAUGGUGGUUGAGUGACGAACGAGACCCAAUCAUGUGAGACCCCUACCGAAUUUGGCCUUCAUGACCCACAUGCGUCUUUGGAACGCUCAUGACGAGACCUCAGGUCAGGCGGGGCUACACGCUGAGUUUAAGCAUAUCAAUAAGCGGAGGA
rnacentral:misc_RNA from 1 species